rnacentral:rRNA from 1 species
GAUGAACGCUGGCGGCGUGCCUAAUACAUGCAAGUCGAGCGAACAGACGAGGAGCUUGCUCCUCUGACGUUAGCGGCGGACGGGUGAGUAACACGUGGAUAACCUACCUAUAAGACUGGGAUAACUUCGGGAAACCGGAGCUAAUACCGGAUAAUAUAUUGAACCGCAUGGUUCAAUAGUGAAAGACGGUUUUGCUGUCACUUAUAGAUGGAUCCGCGCCGCAUUAGCUAGUUGGUAAGGUAACGGCUUACCAAGGCGACGAUGCGUAGCCGACCUGAGAGCAUGAGCAGACAACCGUUGACACUCGCCCGCGCCAUACCCCUGCGGGAGGCAGCAAGCGGGUACCUUCGACAGUGGGCGAAAGCCUAUCUGACUCCGGCCUCGGGAGUGAAGAAUUUUUUCGCACCCUAAUCCUGUCUUAUCGGGAAAAAACAAGAAGGACACGAACGACGCCGUGCUUGCCGUCCCCGAAUCAGACGACACCGCCCACCUCCGCC